UACGUAGGGUGCAAGCGUUAAUCGGAAUUACUGGGCGUAAAGCGUGCGCAGGCGGCUUUGCAAGACAGAUGUGAAAUCCCCGGGCUUAACCGAGGAAGUGCAUCCGAAACUGGCGAGCUAGAGUACUAAAGAGGAUCGCGGAAUUCCCGGUGUAGAGGUGAAAUUCGUAGAUAUCGGGAGGAACACCGGUGGCGAAGGCGGCGAUCUGGGUAGAUACUGACGCUGAGGUGCGAAAGCGUGGGGAGCAAACAGG
rnacentral:rRNA from 1 species